rfam:Nematostella vectensis strain CH2 x CH6 NEMVEscaffold_560_Cont30048, whole genome shotgun sequence.
ACCAGGAUGGCCGAGUGGUUAAGGCGUUGGACUUAAGUUCCAAUGUACGAAUGUACGCGUGGUUUCGAACCCCACUCCUGGUA